CCUACGGGUGGCUGCAGUGAGGAAUAUUGGUCAAUGGGCGGAAGCCUGAACCAGCCAAGUAGCGUGCAGGAUGACGGCCCUACGGGUUGUAAACUGCUUGUAUACGGGAAUAACGCGCCUUACGUGUAGGGCUUUGCAUGGAACGUAGGAAUAAGGACCGGCUAAUUCCGUGCCAGCAGCCGGGGUAAUACGGAAGGGCCGAGAGUUAACCGGAUUUAUUGGUUUUAAAGGGAGCGUAGAUGGGUUGUUAAGUCAGUUGUGAAAGUUUGCGGCUCAACCGUAAAAUUGCAAUUGAUACUGGCAGCCUUGAGCACAGUUGAGGUAGGCGGAAUUCGUGGUGUAGCGGUGAAAUGCUUAGAUAUCACGAAGAACUCCGAUUGCGAAGGCAGCCUACUAAACUGCCACUGACAUUGAUGCUCGAAAGUGUGGGUAUCAAACAGGAUUAGAUACCCCGGUAGUC
rnacentral:rRNA from 1 species